rnacentral:rRNA from 1 species
GUGGGGAAUCUUCCACAAUGGACGAAAGUCUGAUGGAGCAACGCCGCGUGAGUGAAGAAGGGUUUCGGCUCGUAAAGCUCUGUUGUCGGGGACGAAUGUGCAGUAUUUGAAUAAAGUAGUGCAAUGACGGUACCUGACGAGGAAGCCACGGCUAACUACGUGCCAGCAGCCGCGGUAAUACGUAGGUGGCAAGCGUUGUCCGGAAUUAUUGGGCGUAAAGGGAGCGCAGGCGGGAAGGUAAGUCGGUCUUAAAAGUGCGGGGCUCAACCCCGUGAUGGGAUCGAAACUAUCUUUCUUGAGUGCAGGAGAGGAAAGUGGAAUUCCUAGUGUAGCGGUGAAAUGCGUAGAUAUUAGGAAGAACACCAGUGGCGAAGGCGACUUUCUGGACGAAAACUGACGCUGAGGCGCGAAAGCCAGGGGAGCGAACGGGAUUAGAAACCCCUGUAGUCC